rnacentral:rRNA from 1 species
GACAGAGGGUGCAAACGUUGUUCGGAAUUACUGGGCGUAAAGCGCGCGUAGGCGGCUCGGAAAGUCGGUCGUGAAAUGCCGGGGCUCAACCCCGGGACUGCGUCCGAUACUCCCGAGCUGGAGGCAGGUAGGGGAGAUCGGAAUUCCUGGUGUAGCGGUGAAAUGCGCAGAUAUCAGGAGGAACACCGGUGGCGAAGGCGGAUCUCUGGGCCUCGCCUGACGCUGAGGCGCGAAAGCUAGGGGAGCGAACAGG